rnacentral:rRNA from 1 species
AAGGAAUAUUGGACAAUGGAGGCAACUCUGAUCCAGCCAUGCCGCGUGAAGGAAUAAGGCCCUAUGGGUUGUAAACUUCUUUUAGACGGGACAAAACCCCUUUACGUGUAAAGGGUUGAUGGUACUGUAAGAAUAAGCAUCGGCUAACUUCGUGCCAGCAGCCGCGGUAAUACGAAGGAUGCAAGCGUUAUCCGGACUUAUUGGGUUUAAAGGGUGCGUAGGCGGACUGAUAAGUCAGUGGUGAAAGCCUGCAGCUUAACUGCAGAAUUGCCAUUGAUACUGUCGGUCUUGAGUACAGUUGAGGUAGGCGGAAUGUGGUGUGUAGCGGUGAAAUGCAUAGAUAUACCACAGAACGCCGAUUGCGAAGGCAGCUUACUAAGCUGUUACUGACGCUGAGGCACGAAAGCGUGGGGAUCAAAC